ensembl:lncRNA
AUUUAUGGUUGCCACGUCUGGUAGCAUCUCUGGCUGCUGUUGACCUUGUUUUUGGAGUAAAACACAGUGGAAGCUGAAUUAGUGAGGAUGACUCCUGCUCCUGUCAUCUCUAAGCUCCUCACACAUCUUUACCUGCACAUGAGGAAAAUCACUCCUGUAGAAUGCAGUCUGUAGCUGCUGAAUUCAUGGAUGAAUCAUCUGGCACUAGAGAGGAAGACCAUCAAACAUCCACGUCAGCUGAUGGAGGUCCAAGAGUCUCACCCAACAAACAACCUACAGAGUGAAGACCUCAAAUCUGAUUGGACGGCCUCCUAUUCAGCCACAUGUGUGAACAAAUGCCUCUAAGCUGAUUUGUUUUCUAACAUAAAUCUAGUCUGAGUCCUCAUCUAUGCCUGUGUGUUUGCUUCUUUACACCGUUGUUAACAGUUUAGGCUGUUAGAUUGU